rnacentral:rRNA from 1 species
UACGAAGGGGGCUAGCGUUGUUCGGAAUUACUGGGCGUAAAGCGUGCGCAGGCGGUUCUCCAAGUCAGGGGUGAAAGCCCGGAGCUCAACUCCGGAACUGCCAUUGAAACUGUAGAGCUAGAGUACGAGAGAGGUGAGUGGAAUUCCCAGUGUAGAGGUGAAAUUCGUAGAUAUUGGGAAGAACACCGGUGGCGAAGGCGGCUCACUGGCUCGUAACUGACGCUCAUGCACGACAGCGUGGGGAUCAAACAGG